rnacentral:sRNA from 1 species
GUGGGGUGUUGGGCACGCGUCGGCCUAGCAGAUCUGAACCCAGGUGAUUUCUGUUCUCAGGAAGCUUUUAGGUGACAAGGAUCAGGCAUGUGAACAAAUAACCAUACUGUAAAGCUGGCUGUGCUGGGUCGCUAGAGCAAACGCAGACACACACUCUGCGCUCUUGGAGUUGGGAAACCCACCUGCGUUGGCUUUUUGUGGGAGGUGGCCUUGAUUGGGCCUUGAAGGAUGGGUGAGAUUUACAGAAGGUUGGAAUGAGGCACUCCAAGCAAAGAACAGCAGAGGCUCAGCAGCAAGAAUGCAAAAAGGGAGUUCACUACUGACUCAAAUACCCGGAGCCCUGGGGUUUAGUCUCCUCCCUCCACAAGUCACAUGUAAAAGUCCAGUCAUGCUGGGCGCGGUGGCUCAUGCCUAUAAUCCUAGCACUUUGGGAGGCCGAGGUGGGCGGAUCAUGAGGUCAGUAGUUCAAGAACAGCCUGGCCAACACGGUGAAACCCUGUCUCUACUAAAAAUACAAAAAUUAGUCGGGCAUGGUGGCGGGCACCUGCAAUCCCAGCUACUCGAGAGGCUGAGGCAGGAGAAUCACUUGAAACUGGAAGGCGGAGGUUGCAGUGAGCCGAGAUCAUGCCACUGCACUCCAGCCUGGGUGAAAGAGCUAAACUCCGUCUCUCAAAAAAAAAAAAAAAAAAAGUCCAGUCAUGUAAUUAUGUAACAGUCACGUGACCUGUUAUGGAACUUCCAAUGGCAACUAAAAGCACAUGCAGCUAGUGGAUUUCAUCGGAGUGUUUGAGGUUCCCGUCUUGAAUAUGACUGUCGGAACUACUGCCCGGGGGGUGGUGCAUUUUUCUGAGUUUAAGCAGGAGUCGGGAGUCCCCAAAAGGGAACACAAGACACCUUGAUCCUGGCAUAUCUUGUGUGCCCUCUGUGGGCCUCAGUUUGUUUCACAGGAUUGAAAACCUGGGAAGUUAGAUGCUCAUCUCAUCUGGAGAAGUUGUUCUGCCUUUGUUAAGGUGGAGCGGGAAUAGUCAGCACUGGGACAUGAGAAUGGACAGUCACCUGGACCCACCUAGGGAUUCACCAUUUGCUAAAUGUGUGAGCUGUGGGCUCGGCCCUGGGGGCACUUAGGAACAUGACUAGUCUUCCCCUGCAGUGUGGAGGACACAUGUGCCACAGAGCCCAGCUUUGUGCUCGGUGCCAGAGAGGCUUCCGGAGGCAGGCAGGGCUGCGUGCAGCCUGGAAGGAUGAGCCAGGCCAGGCGGGAAACGGAAGUCCAGGUAGAAGGGAGGAGCCGAAUUGGGGUACACUCCAUAUGGGCUCAGGCAGGUCAGCCUGUGGAAUGAAUAGAGGCCAACAUGCAGGCCAGCCCGGAAUGCGGCAGGAGUGACAAUGGCUUUCCGUUUCUGGGAAUUCUGCCAGUACCUACAGUGGUGCCUUUUGACUUGGCUUACCUUUUUUCUCGACAUGCAGGCAGCGUCUAUCCCAGACUACCGGGGCCCUAAUGGAGUGUGGACACUGCUUCAGAAAGGGAGAAGCGUUAGUGCUGCCGACCUGAGCGAGGCCGAGCCAACCCUCACCCACAUGAGCAUCACCCGUCUGCAUGAGCAGAAGCUGGUGCAGCAUGUGGUGUCUCAGAACUGUGACGGGCUCCACCUGAGGAGUGGGCUGCCACGCACGGCCAUCUCCGAGCUCCACGGGAACAUGUACAUUGAAGGAGUACGUGCGGGUGUUCGAUGUGACGGAGCGCACCGCCCUCCACAGACACCAGACAGGCCGGACCUGCCACAAGUGUGGGACCCAGCUGCGGGACACUAUUGUGCACUUUGGGGAGAGGGGGACGUUGGGGCAGCCUCUGAACUGGGAAGCGGCGACCGAGGCUGCCAGCAGAGCAGACACCAUCUUGUGUCUAGGGUCCAGCCUGAAGGUACGUGCCGAUGACACAAUGAGUGAACCGAGCCCCCACCCGCCCGAGGGUGUCCAGCUCUGCGGCCCAGCACUCUACAGACUUGUCCCUUGUGUGUGUGCGGUGUCUGUCUGUCUGCUUCCACAGGUUCUAAAGAAGUACCCACGCCUCUGGUGCAUGACCAAGCCCCCUAGCCGGCGGCCGAAGCUUUACAUCGUGAACCUGCAGUGGACCCCGAAGGAUGACUGGGCUGCCCUGAAGCUACAUGGGAAGUGUGAUGACGUCAUGCGGCUCCUCAUGGCCGAGCUGGGCUUGGAGAUCCCCGCCUAUAGCAGGUGGCAGGAUCCCAUUUUCUCACUGGCGACUCCCCUGCGUGCUGGUGAAGAAGGCAGCCACAGUCGGAAGUCGCUGUGCAGAAGCAGAGAGGAGGCCCCGCCUGGGGACCGGGGUGCACCGCUUAGCUCAGCCCCCAUCCUAGGGGGCUGGUUUGGCAGGGGCUGCACAAAACGCACAAAAAGGAAGAAAGUGACGUAACCAGGUGCUCGAUGAAGAACAGUUGGCACUUUGCAGAUGGCCAGUGUCACGGUGAAGGCUGGGUUGCCCCCACGGGUCUAGGGAGAACUCUUUGGGGAUGACAUUUUCACCGUGACAUUUUUAGCCAUUUGUCCUUGAGAAAAGCCCCUUGCACUGCUGCGGUUGUACCCUGAUACGGCCUGGCCAUCGAGGACACCUGCCCAUCCGGCCUCUGUGUCAAGAGGUGGCAGCCGCACCUUUCUGUGAGAACGGAACUCGGGUUAUUUCAGCCCCGGCCUGCAGAGUGGAAGCGCCCAGCGGCCUUUCCUCGCUCACCAGGCCAGUCUCAGGGCCUCACCGUAUUUCUACUACUACUUAACGAAAAAGUGUGAACUUUAUAGAAUCCUCUCUGUACUGGAUGUGCGGCAGAGGGGUGGCUCCGAGCCUCGGCUCUAUGCAGACCUUUUUAUUUCUAUUAAACGUUUCUGCACUGGC